UACGUAGGGGGCAAGCGUUGUUCGGAAUUACUGGGCGUAAAGGGCGCGUAGGCGGCAUGGCAAGUCAGGAGUGAAAGGCCUGGGCUCAACCGAGGAACUGCUUUUGAUACUGCCAAGCUAGAGUGCGGAAGGGGCAACUGGAAUUCCCAGUGUAGCGGUGAAAUGCGUAGAUAUUGGGAAGAACACCUGAGGCGAAGGCGGGUUGCUGGGCCGACACUGACGCUGAGGCGCGAAAGCCAGGGAGCAAAGCGGG
rnacentral:rRNA from 1 species